CAGUGAUUUACCCUGUGGCGGAUGUCAGCGGUUCGAGUCCGCUUAUCUCCAACCCGUGAACUUAGCUGAUACUAUGACAGC